rnacentral:rRNA from 1 species
CCUAUUCUGAGACGUGAUGACGAGUUGCUCCUCGGAGCGACGAAGUGAUUGAUGCCCUGCUUCCAAGAAAACCUCUAAGCUUCAGGUUAUCAGUGGCCGUACCCCAAACCGACACAGGUGGGUAGGAUGAGAAUUCUAAGGCGCUUGAGAGAACUCGGCUGAAGGAACUAGGCAAAAUGAUACCGUAACUUCGGGAGAAGGUAUGCCCUUGGUAGGUGAAGGUCCUCGCGACUGGAGCCGAAGAGGGUUGCAAUAAAAUGGUGGCUGCGACUGUUUAGCAAAAACAUAGCACUCUGCAAACUCGAAAGAGGACGUAUAGGGUGUGACGCCUGCCCGGUGCUGGAAGGUUAAUUGAUGGGGUUAUCUCACGAGAAGCUCUUGAUCGAAGCCCCAGUAAACGGCGGCCGUAACAAUAACGGUCCUAAGGUAGCGAAAUUCCUUGUCGGGUAAGUUCCGACCUGCACGAAUGGCGUAACGAUGGCCACACUGUCUCCAGCCGAGACUCAGUGAAAUUG